rnacentral:rRNA from 1 species
CCUACGGGCGGCAGCAGUAGGGAAUAUUGGACAAUGGGCGAAAGCCUGAUCCAGCCAUGCCGCGUGAGUGAUGAAGGCCUUAGGGUUGUAAAGCUCUUUCGGCGGGGACGAUAAUGACGGUACCCGCAGAAGAAGCCCCGGCUAACUUCGUGCCAGCAGCCGCGGUAAUACGAAGGGGGCUAGCGUUGUUCGGAAUCACUGGGCGUAAAGCGCAUGCAGGCGGAUCGCUAAGUCGGGGGUGAAAGCCCGAGGCUCAACCUCGGAACUGCCUUCGAUACUGACGAUCUUGAGUCCGGGAGAGGUGAGUGGAACUGCGAGUGUAGAGGUGAAAUUCGUAGAUAUUCGCAAGAACACCAGUGGCGAAGGCGGCUCACUGGCCCGGUACUGACGCUGAGAUGCGAAAGCGUGGGGAGCAAACAGGAUUAGAUACCCCAGUAGUC